GACGAACGCUGGCGGCGUGCCUAAUACAUGCCAGUCGAACGCAUUUUCUUUCACCGUAGCUUGCUACACCGAAAGAAAAUGAGUGGCGAACGGGUGAGGAACACGUGGGCAACCUGCCCAUCAGCGGGGGAUAACACUUGGAAACAGGUGCUAAUACCGCAUAAUUCCAUUUACCGCAUGGUAGAGGGAUGAAAGGCGCUUUUGCGUCACUGAUGGAUGGAACCGCGGUGCAUUAGCUAGUUGGUGGGGUAACGGGCUACCAAGGCGGCGAUGCAUAGCCGACCUGCGAGGAUGGUCGACCACACUGGGCCUGAGACACGGCCCAGACUACUACAGGGGGCAGCAGUAGGGAAUCUUCGGCAAUGGACGCAAGCCUGACCGUGCAAAGCCGCAUGAGUGAAGAAGGUUUUCGGAUCGUAAAACUCUGUUGUCAGAGAAGAACAAGGAUGAGACUGGAAAGUUCAUCCCUUGACGGUAUCUACCCAGAAAGCAACGGCUAACUACGUG
rnacentral:rRNA from 1 species